CACGGGUGAGUAACACGUGACUAACCUACCCUGGAGUGGGGGAUAACUGAGGGAAACCUUAGCUAAUACCGCAUAACACCUACGGGUCAAAGGAGCAAUUCGCUUCAGGAGGGGGUCGCGGCCGAUUAGUUAGUUGGCGGGGUAAUGGCCCACCAAGACGAUGAUCGGUAUCCGGCCUGAGAGGGCGCACGGACACACUGGAACUGAAACACGGUCCAGACUCCUACGGGAGGCAGCAGUGGGGAAUUUUGCGCAAUGGGGGAAACCCUGACGCAGCAACGCCGCGUGGAGGAUGAAGUCCUUCGGGACGUAAACUCCUUUCGAUCGGGACGAUAAUGACGGUACCUAUAGAAGAAGCCCCGGCUAACUUCGUGCCAGCAGCCGCGGUAAUACGAGGGGGGCAAGCGUUGUUCGGAAUUAUUGGGCGUAAAGGGUGCGUAGGCGGUUUGAUAAGUCAUCUGUGAAAUCUAUGGGCUCAACCCAUAGUCUGCAGGCGAAACUGUCGGGCUUGAGUAUGGGAGAGGUGAGUGGAAUUUCCGGUGUAGCGGUGAAAUGCGUAGAUAUCGGAAGGAACACCUGUGGCGAAAGCGGCUCACUGGACCAUUACUGACGCUGAGGCACGAAAGCUAGGGAAGCAAACAGGAUUAGAUACCCUGGUAGUCCUAGCCCUAAACGAUGAUUGCUUGAUGUGGCAGGUACCCAAUCCUGCCGUGUCGAAGCUAACGCGAUAAGCAAUCCGCCUGGGGAGUACGGUCGCUAGGCUGAAACUCAAAGGAAUUGACGGGGGCCCGCAC
rnacentral:rRNA from 1 species